GACGAACGCUGGCGGCGUGCCUAAUACAUGCAAGUAGAACGCUGAAGAGAGGAGCUUGCUCUUCUUGGAUGAGUUGCGAACGGGUGAGUAACGCGUAGGUAACCUGCCUGGUAGCGGGGGAUAACUAUUGGAAACGAUAGCUAAUACCGCAUAAAAUUGAUUAUUGCAUGAUAAUUAAUUGAAAGAUGCAACUGCAUCACUACCAGAUGGACCUGCGUUGUAUUAGCUAGUUGGUGAGGUAACGGCUCACCAAGGCGACGAUACAUGGCCGACCUGGGAGGGGGAUCGGCCACACUGGGACUGAGACACGGCCCAGACUCCUACGGGAGGCAGCAGUAGGGAAUCUUCGGCAAUGGGGGGAACCCUGACCGAGCAACGCCGCGUGAGUGAAGAAGGGUUUCGGAUCGGAAAGCUCUGUUGUAAGAGAAGAACGGGUGUGAGAGUGGAAAGUUCACACUGUGACGGUAUCUUACCAGAAAGGGACGGCUAACUACGUG
rnacentral:rRNA from 1 species